CACACACGCCCAUUCUCUUUCAAAAGCUGCUUGAUAUAAAACCAAACCAGGCUCAAUAUCCCGAAGCAUCGGCAAAAUCAACUAAGCAAAAGCUAACUACUAAUCCAGCAGUGCAAGCCUCUGCCAACUUCUCAUCAGACGCACAGCAUGGCAUUUGCAACCACUUCUUUCCUUUAUCUAUGUGGCAGACAUCUGCUUUGUGAGUGUUCAAUUGUUGAACCGAUCCGAUUCUUACAUCCCGACAGGUAUUAUAUAGAAAAAAUCAUUUGUUACAAAACUAGCCUUCUUUCUUUCAUGCUGUCAUCACUGAAUCAAUGAAGGCACAAUAGAGAUUAGUACCGUCACAAACAUUUCUUAACACGCUCGGUAGUUUUAUUGUAAAACCAUCUAGGUCUAGGGACUCGUUUUAGAACCCCUCCAAGAGUUACGGAGUCCCACAUUUACAAUAUGCACAUUGCAAUAAAGAGCUUGUGAAAUUUGUUUGACUUUUGAUUGGAUUGAUUGAUUGAUUAAAUUUAAAGUAGCUAAGCAACUUUGAUCUCGGCAUCACGCAGAGGCCAACAUGUCUCCUGUCAUCUUUCUGUCCCUCGCCUUCUCCGUGCUGCUCAAGUCACAGAUAAACCAUUGCUACAAACAAACCAAACUAGCGUCGUGCCGAAGCAACACAUGGGUUAUGAGACUAACAGUUAGGAGGCUCCAGAUUAACUUUGAACAGUAGGGUUUCUUUAAUGUGCACUGAAAUCUCGGUACAUAAGCGCUUUUACGUUCUGUGCCCAUUUAAACGCACAGCCAGGAAUGAAACCAGCCACCUCUAGCUUAGCAGCAGAAUGCCAUUGCUACUGAGCAACCAUUGUAUCUCUUAUCAACGGAUGACUAAUCUACCAACACAUCUCCUGUUUUGGUGCUUGCGCAGUAACUCUGUUGAUUUGCAUUCGAGGCAUGAC
rnacentral:lncRNA from 1 species